rnacentral:rRNA from 1 species
GCCAGUAGUCAUAUGCUUGUCUUAAAGACUAAGCCAUGCAUGUCUAAGUAUAAGUAUUAUACAGCGAAACUGCGAAUGGCUCAUUAAAACAGUUAUAGUUUAUUCGAUUAUUUUCACCUACAUGGAUAACCGUAGUAAUUCUAGAGCUAAUACAUGCUGUCAAACCUGACUUUUGUGGAAGGGUUGUAUUUAUUAGAUAUAAAACCAAUACCCAGCAAUGGGUUUUGUGAUGAUUCAUAAUAACUGAACGGACCGCGGCCGUGCUGCGGCGAAUCGUUCAAGUUUCUGCCCUAUCAGCUUUCGAUGGUAGUGUAUUGGACUACCAUGGCGAUCACGGGUAACGGGGAAUUAGGGUUCGAUUCCGGAGAGGGAGCCUGAGAAAUGGCUACCACAUCUAAGGAAGGCAGCAGGCGCGUAAAUUACCCAAUCCUAAUUCAGGGAGGUAGUGACAAGAAAUAACAACUCGGACCUCACUCGAGGUUACGAGAUUGCAAUGAGAACAAUUUAAACCUCUUAUCGAGUAACAAUUGGAGGGCAAGUCUGGUGCCAGCAGCCGCGGUAAUUCCAGCUCCAAUAGCGUAUAUUAAAGUUGUUGCAGUUAAAAAGCUCGUAGUUGAAUUUCUGGCCGGCGCUGUUCACGGCUCUCGCAGUCGGUUCAGGAGCCUGGUCAUCCGUAUGGGAAGCUAGCACGUCCUUCAGUGGUCGGCUAGUGGAUCAUACACUUUACUUUGAAAAAAUUAGAGUGUUUCAGGCAGGCAAUUGCUUGGAUACUGCAGCAUGGAAUAAUGGAAUAGGACUUUGACCUAUUUGUUGGUUUCUUGAGGUCAAAGUAAUGAUUAAUAGGGACAGUUGGGGGCAUCCGUAUUUAAUUGUCAGAGGUGAAAUUCUUGGAUUUAUUAAAGACGAACUUAUGCGAAAGCAUUUGCCAAGGAUGUUUUCAUUAAUCAAGAACGAAAGUUAGGGGAUCAAAGACGAUCAGAUACCGUCCUAGUCUUAACCAUAAACUAUACCGACUAGGGAUUGGUGAGGUCUUUUAAGCCUCAUCAGCACCUUAUGAGAAAUCAAAG